GCCCAGGUAGCUCAGUUGGUAGAGCAGGGGACUGAAAAUCCCCGUGUCGGCGGUUCGACUCCGUCCCUGGGCACCA
rnacentral:tRNA from 31 species